UAGCAAGUGCAAAUUAACAAAAUGCAAAUGAGGCAUACCAGAGGUAGUGUGAUAUGAUGGAGAGAACAUUAGAUUUGGAGUCAAAAGCACUGCGUGGACUGGAACACAGACCCUGCCACAUAUCACCUGUGUGACUCAACAACACUUUUUGGUUGUUCAGUUUCACCAUAUGUAAAAUGCAGGAUUUGGAUCAGAAGACCUCGAAGGUCUCUUCCAGCUCUAAAUCCCAUGGAUGUUUGUAGAGAUUAAGCCAUAUGGAUUGGAGGUCUCUCCAGCUCCUGUCUCCAUGUCUUGGCACUGGCUGCCCUCCAUUCCUGGAAUGCUCUUCCUCCUAGCUUCCACCUCCUGGCGUCCUUCAAGACUCAGCUCCAAUGCCAUCUUCCAGAAGAGGCCUUUCCUGUUCCUUCUAGCCUCCAGUGCCUCCAAGGUUACCUUUCACCUACUCAGCAGGUAUCUUACAUAUACCUAUUUAUCCAUGUCAUCUCUUUGAUGUGUGAGCUCCUUGAAUGACAGCUCCUGAGGGCAGGGACUAUCUCUUGCUUUUCUUUGUAUCAUCAGCUCUUAGCACAGAGUCUGGCACAUAGUAGGCACUUAAUAAAUGCUUGCUGACUGAUUUUCCAAGUCAUUUGAACCUGUAAAGUCCCUUGCAGGUUUAAUUCUAUGACCCUAUCCAAAUCCCACUAAUCCUUCCAGGCCUAGAUUCUUAGAGUCCAUUUAAAUCUCCCUUCUCUGACUCCCCACAUCAUUUAAUCUAAGCCUAGAUCAUACACCAUUCUACAGUAGAGAUGCUACCAUCCCUUCUCUUAAAUAAUCCAUAUUGAAUUUAAACCUUUAUUAACUCUCCAGCAAUAGUGCAGAUUUGCUGGAUAACGUCAUCCAAGUUACCCUCACGGCCUCCAAGCAUAUUGUUUCAUAUGUCUUCUUUGUUUCUCUAAUACUAAGUUCUGAAAGGGCAGGAAGCAGGACUUCUCUUGCCUCCUCUAUUUGUAGCACGUGACACUGGCAGAGUCAGUGCCCAUGCUGACAUCUGGGGUAAGAAGAACCCAAAGCGAUGUGACUUUAGAUUUCUUGUUUGUCUGGAGCAGGAUGCACUGAAUCAUCUCGAAGACGGACUGCAUCGUCUUAAUGCUGCGGCAUCAUCUGGCAUUCAGAUCCGUAGCUUUCACAUACAUACCCUCUAUUUCCCGUCUAACAUACAUCUGUAGCCCUGGGCAGUUGGGUGGUUGGGAAGCUAAUCAGCAGCAGCCCAUCAGAGACAAAAUCCUCCUGCUUGAUUUACUUUGGCUAGUGCUCAUGGACGUUGCUCCUUUAAACCACACCCCCCCUCCCCACCAUGAAAAAAAGGAAGCAUAGCUCAAGCUAUGAGGACAGCAGGCAAUCAGUCAGGUGGUAAACAAGAAUUUAAAUGCUUACUAUGUGCUAGGCUAGCACAGCACGAGGCAUUCCCAGGCCAGUCUCAAGAGACUAGGAAGCUUCAGUCCCAGCUCCACCACUGGCAUAUCAGUGUUUUGAUUUCCCCGUCCAUGAAAUGGGUCAAUUCAGCUGCCCCUCACAGUCUUUUGGAAAGAGAAGAAAAGUCUUGUAGGAUGGAGUGGCUACUUCUACUAAAGAACUGCAGGAAGAGCAUCGGACGCAGGCCCUGUCGCUCACUAGCUGCGUGACUUUGGGCAAGCUUCCAUCCUCAGUGGGGGCGUCCCAGCUCAUCAAAAUUCGGUCAUUUCCAGAUGAGAGACACUCCUCAAAGAGUCAUCUUCCCUUACUGGAGAAACCCUUUUGACCAGCUCUCAUUGACCCUGAAAUGCUCCCAAAGAACAGGCUGAGAAUCCCCAACCUGAGGUCUGGCAGACGAUGAGCUCAGCACCAUUGGACAGAAUCACAAGGCUGAUCCAAGCUCUCAGCUGAUUCCAACUGUCCAGGAUCCAAGAGAUUGUUAGCUGUACUUCUGCCCUUCCAGGGUAUCUCAAAGGCCUUCCUCCCCAGCGUGCGCUGCAUCUGUCUCUGUUGGCCACCACCCUCGUUGCUUUAUGAGACAUCAGCAGUUCCCCUUUUGCCCACAUGAAGACAAGGCACCUUUGAACUCUCACUGUAUUUCCAAGAAUCCCAAUUACCUCAUGGGAGUCUGCUACAGGGUUCUGUUAUGUAGGUCAGCAGGCAAAGGGGCAACCAUGUGAUCUGGAUAGAUAAGCUUGUGAUGAGAUCAGCCUGUUCCAGCAAGAGGGCAAUGUGUUUGGGAACCACACUUCUACAAGACAGCUCCGUGAACUUCCAGGGCCAAGCUCUCCAAGGUAUCAACUGGUGGCCCCGUGUGACCCCUGAGACUGGAAUCUGCUGCCACUGUACCCCAUGCCCACCCACUGCAGCCAGGCCAAGCCUUUCUUUAAUGGCAGAAGCAAGGCCCAGGCCCAACGCAUUGCCUCAGUGACAUGUGCAAUGCCUUAUAGAAAAGCGUGGCACCGCCAGAAAGCCUCCUGAGGGUUCAUGAACUUGGGAGAAAUGUACAUCUUUGUUUAACUAUAUUAGGUUUCCUUUGUAAUCCUUUGUAUUUUAUGCAUUUAAAAACAUCAUUUUGAGAAGAGGUCUAUAGGCUUCUCCAGGCUAUCAGAGGGGUUCAUGAUCCAAAAAAGUCUCAGAAGCCCUGAUACACAUCAACCUUCUUCAAGAUUCCUUCAGUUUCCUCAUCUCCUACAACACAGGAUUAGCUCUGGAAAGGAAGCUGAACCCAAGUUGAAUGACCUGUCCAAGGUCACACUGGUGGUAUCAGAUUUCCCAACUCCAAGUUCAGAGCUCUUUCCACUGCCCCAUGAAAAUCUCCAAUCUUUCAGCUGGCUUUCUCUAAAAUGCCUCCAAAUCACCUUACCCAAUAACCACCAAACCUCUCCCCAACCCAAACAGGGACCUUCCAUUCAAGUCAGGCUGGUCUUUACUGUUCAUUCUAUUGCCGUUCCUUCAGAUCAUUCCUCUUGCCUGGAAUGCCCUCCUUCUCACCUCCACUCUAUGUCAAUCCUACCCAGACAAGAAGGCCCAGCUCCAUUCCCAGCUGCUCCCCAACCAUGCCAGCCCUCCCCCUCUGAACUCCAGCUUUAAUAGAGCACUUGAUUAGAUAUACUCCAAUAGAUUUAUGAUCUCAUCUUGUGGGUAUUACCUCCAAAAAUGCUGGUCAAAAUCCAUCUGUGUUCACACUUCCUAUCUUAUCUUGUUCCCUAAUUUGAGUCCAGUCACUCUGGCUAAGCUUUCAGGUCCUCGAGGGCAGGGACCAUAGCUAAUAUUUCUCUAACCCAACAGUACUGAGCAGAGGCUGAAGGCUUAACAGGUGCCCACUGACACCAUGUAACUAACCAGAUCCGUCUCCCUGUAGGUACAAACAGAUCUAUGGCUGCUGUCACUGCCAGAGCUCCUCAAUGACUGCCCUGCCCUGACCAAAAGUCACCAAAGUUAUUUAAACUGAGCUCAUAUCAGCUAUCCCUGGUUAGGGUCCAAAGAAGUCUAGGAAGGGCCCACAUUCACAGAGAACAUAACUGCUCUCAAUUCUAGGAUGAACUCAGGUAAUGCCCUUGACAUUUUGAAAGUCAUAGCUAAUGCCCUGGGCCUUGGUUUCUCUGUACUCAGAAUGUAGCCAAAUCCUUUGGAAGAGAAAGGACAUCAGUAAAAAGGAUGACUGAGAAAGCUAAAAUGGUGGUUCCCCAGUGACUCUUACCACUCAAACUCAAAGGUGGCCUGGAUGCCAGCUGCUUCACCAAUCACUGGACCCUCUUCUCAUGCAGCAGUGGGGUCCUCCUAACAUUCACCUCCAUCUGAGGAACCCCCUUGGGGAAUGUUCCUCUCCUCAGUUCCAACAGGGCCAGUUCUUAAAAUUAGUGCUUUACAGCUGAGGAUAAUACAAUGAACUUUCAGUAAUUCAACCAACCACCCUUUUCUUUGCCCACUUAGUGUGGAGAUGGGUCUGAAAACAAUGCUCUCUGAAGAAGGGUUGGAAAAUCAAAGGAUUGAGCCUUAACCCUGGAAAAGAAAAGCCAUGAGAGUGACACAGGACCGCUGUCUUGAGACACCUGAAGGACAGCCAUGUGGCAGAUGGUGUAGCUCCAGAGGUGUGCAAGUCCAGACAGCCACCUGGGCCAAGGACUGAAGAACCAAUAAAAGUUAUGCAGAAGCAAAUUUCAGCUCAAUGGAAGAAUUUUCUAAAAUGUGGAGAGCUAUUCCACAAUGGAAUGAGUUUCCUUAUGAAGUUAGUGAGCUCUCUGGCCUAGGAAGAACACAAAUGCUGUGUAGAUAGGGCACUUGUCUUGGGAGUCAGGAAGAUCUGAGUUCAAAUUUGAUCUUAGGCACUUAGUAAUAUAAUGUGUGACCCUGGACAAGUCACUUAACCUCCCUUAGUAGUAGAAAAGGAAUGUGCAUAUGCCUGUGUAAUUUUCAACUUAAUAAUUCUUGCAGUAAAUUCUUGGAGAGAGGAAGAAAGUUUGGAACUAAUAUUGUCAUUUGGAACGUCACUUGAUCUUCUGUUUCAUUGAUCCACGUGUCCUCUUGCUUCGGAUCAUUGAGUUGACUAUCAGUGUUCUUUCCUAAUGCUGACUUUAGACCACGUUGUUGAUUUGUCUCAAACAAAAGCAUUGGAAUUCUCCUUUCAUACUUGUGACCUAAGACAAUUUUAUUCUACUGGUACAACUCUAUUAAGCAAAGAAAUGGAGAAAUAAAAGCAGCUCAAAGGGGUAUGCUGCUGUGGACAAUGCUGAUCUCCCCCACGUGCCUACCCUGGGAUAAGGCCAACAAAUUUGGUGACUGAAUCUUCUGUUAUGAUCACCAUAGCUCCCACCUCUGGCACCAGAAGUCAGGAACCAACAGGAAACUUCAGAGGAGAGGAAUGAGAACAAGAUCUGCCCCACGGUGGAAGGACAAAAAGCAGAGAGUAGCAAGCGGGAUGCUAGGGAGGUUUGGGGUCUUCUCUGCAUCUUACCAUAACUGGCUUUCUGUGUGAGGUUUAGGGACUAAACCCACUGAGUGUGUGUGCUAUGGGGGAGGCAGGGGGAAAAGCAGUGAUGCAAAAAGAAUGGUGAAUACAGAGGACCCCAGUGUAGAAGUCCUGGGCUCUACUCCGGACAUGCCAUGAAGACUGAAUUCCUUGCCUGGUAUUUGUGAAGUGAUCAUUUGAGGGUACAGGAAAAUUCGUGCAAAGUGUGGUAAGGGAUUUAAUCCUCGCCACAAGAUUUUCUUUCUCUGGUUUUCACCAUCCCCAUUCCUUCUUAUUUUUCCAAAUCUCUUCCUAAAGAGUAGUACAACUGAAUACAAGUAUCAUUUCGAUGGAAAUAUAGGAAGCAUUCACUUGUGAGGGCCAUUGUUCUAGGCAUUAAGAAUGUCAGACUAGUCAACCCACACCCUUCCUUGGGCCAGA